AGAGUUUGAUCCUGGCUCAGGACGAACGCUGGCGGCGUGCCUAAUACAUGCAAGUCGAGCGAGUCUGCCUUGAAGAUCGGAGUGCUUGCACUCUGUGAAACAAGAUACAGGCUAGCGGCGGACGGGUGAGUAACACGUGGGUAACCUGCCCAAGAGAUCGGGAUAACACCUGGAAACAGAUGCUAAUACCGGAUAACAACAGAUGAUGCCUAUCAACUGUUUAAAAGAUGGUUCUGCUAUCACUCUUGGAUGGACCUGCGGUGCAUUAGCUAGUUGGUAGGGUAACGGCCUACCAAGGCGAUGAUGCAUAGCCGAGUUGAGAGACUGAUCGGCCACAUUGGGACUGAGACACGGCCCAAACUCCUACGGGAGGCAGCAGUGGGGAAUAUUGCACAAUGGGCGCAAGCCUGAUGCAGCCAUGCCGCGUGUAUGAAGAAGGCCUUCGGGUUGUAAAGUACUUUCAGCGAGGAGGAAGGCGUUGUGGUUAAUAACCGCAACGAUUGACGUUACUCGCAGAAGAAGCACCGGCUAACUCCGUGCCAGCCGCCGCGGUAA
rnacentral:rRNA from 1 species